AAACCGUGGGUUCCCGUGCCAACGUUUGACUGUCCGUCUUAUAUGAAUUUUUUUUAUAAUUAGUAUUUUCAUUGUUGUUAGAUGAUAAAACAUGAUUAAUACUUUAUGCGUGACUUGUCUUUUUAAUUUUUUUCAUAAUUUUUUCAAAUAAGACGAACGGUCAAACGUUGGACAUGGAAACCAGGGUUUGUCUUUUU
rnacentral:pre_miRNA from 1 species